rnacentral:rRNA from 1 species
CCUACGGGUGGCAGCAGUGGGGAAUAUUGCGCAAUGGGCGAAAGCCUGACGCAGCGACGCCGCGUGAGGGAUGAAGGUCUUCGGAUCGUAAAACUCUGUCAGCAGGGAAGAACGGUCACUUUGCUAAUCAGCAGUGAAUUGACGGUACCUGCAAAGGAAGCACCGGCUAACUCCGUGCCAGCAGCCGCGGGAAUACGGAGGGUGCGAGCGUUAAUCGGAAUUACUGGGCGUAAAGCGCUCGUAGGCGGUAUGUCAAGUCAAGGGGUAAAUCCCCGCGCUCAACGUGGGAACUGCCUUUGAAACUGGCAAACUGGAGUGUGUGAGAGGAUAGUGGAAUUCCAGGUGUAGGAGUGAAAUCCGUAGAUAUCUGGAGGAACAUCAGUGGCGAAGGCGACUAUCUGGCACAUAACUGACGCUGAGGAGCGAAAGCGUGGGUAGCGAACAGGAUUAGAUACCCGAGUAGUC